UGUGGGAGCUUGGGGGGAAACCUUGUUUUCUUCAAUCUCUGGAUAAGAGUAUAGAACAGCAUAAGGGAGCUGCAGGAUCUGGUAUUCACAGAGAAUUCCUGUAUAUUCAUGGUUUAGUCUUCUGCAAGCGUUAGUUUCAGCUUUUAUCUGACCCUUACUGCCAAACAACUGGACACCCUCAGGCAGCACUGCCUCCCUCCUAGGGAAGAAAGAGAAGCAAAAAUCUUCCCAAAACUGCUGACGUAGUGGGAAGACCUUUGGGAUGGCACCCUCUGGGUCUUCGCUGAUUGAGAAGUUGCAGUUUUUUGGAAACCCUGUACAUAAUGAGAUGCUCUUCUGCAAUUUGGUACCAUAUGCGUGGAAUCAGGAGCUUCCAUGUAUAUACCAAAGCUGAAGAGUCAGAUGGUCAUGAAGGAGGCUGUGCUAUUUUCAGACCAAAAGAGCACACAAGAAAGGACUGUAUUUGUAUUUAUUACAAACAACAUAUAUAUAUAAAAAUGUAUUUGCUCUAUUUUUAAAGAGUUGGAACAGAGCCAAACACCUUCAGGAGCACCAGGGAAAAUGAUGACAGCAGCAAAAGUCUAUAGACAGAGGCUGAGAUGUUACAAAUCUAUUCAGGAAAUUUACAUUUUUAAAGCAAAACAGAUCAAAUAUUUUUAAGCGUGGAUUUUUUUCAUCAUCAUAAUGUUAAAACACCAUCAAAGAGGCUUAGAUCAUAGGAUUCUCUUACAAGAUUCACUUCUACAAACUGUACUCAUUUCCUAUUCAGGGGUAAAGUUUCUGCAUCUGAAGAUAUAUAUAUAUAUAUAUUUUUUUUUCAGGCUAGUUGUGGCUU